GAAUGCUGAAGGCUGAGGAGUGGGAGGAGGUAGGCAGAAAUGAGAAGUUGGAGCAGGGUAGAGUUAGCAGCCUCAGUGCUAUGAUGAAUGGCUGUAAAUCAGGAGUGGCAAAUCCUUGGCAUUGUGUGAUGGGAAGAUCAGACAAGUCUGAUGGGCUUAAGAAGAGAAACAAUAGUGCUGAAGGGUCCCCGUUUGAGUUUCAUGUGUGUUAAUGUGCAGGACUCUCUCUCUCUCACGCACACCCUCUGCACUACCCUCUCUAACUGGUUUAUUCUGCAUUGUGUUCAUCAGACAGUAGGGGAGAGGCUGGAUGAGCACAUCAGGACCAUAGACAGGCAUCUGGACAAGCACAUUGGGACCUUAGGCACAUGGGUAGAUCAACAUGUCUGGAGCCUCAACAAGUGGGUGCAGGAGCACAUGGGGACCCCAGACAAGUGGGUGGAUGAGCAUACGGAGGACCUGCUUGGGUGGCUGGAUGAGCACAUUGGGGCCCUCGACAAGUGGCUGGACAGAUAUGUUUGGACCCUGAAUGAGUGGCAUGAGGAGUAUGUUGAAGCUUUCGACAAGAGGCUAGAUGAGCAUGUUCAAGACAGGUGCCAGAAAGACCACACUGCAAACAUGGUUAUGUGGCUGGACCACAACAACAGGACCCUGUACAAGUGGCUGGAUGAGAAUGUCAUGAUCCUGUACAAGUUGCUGGAGGAGUAUAAUGGGACCACAGACAAGUCACUGGUAGAGUACGCUGAGGUUCAGGUCAAGCUGCUGGAGAACCACGUCAAAGUCCUAGAAGAGGUACUGCACCAAUCCCUGACAGCCACCAAUAACUGGCUGGAAAGACAUGCCAGGGCCAAAGAAGAGCCCUCAGGCAAGUAUGUCCAAUGGCUGCAGAGUACGUAUCUACAGGGGCAAGAGUCUGAAGAGGCCCAAGAAGUGGGGCCAGAAGACAAAUAUAUCACAGCCAUAAGGAACUGGUUGGGGAAGUAUGUUGGCGCCAUGAAAAAGUGGCUACAGGAGAACUUCGGAGACCAAUACCAAAAGAGCUUGAUGUAGGGGUUUUGUAUAGUGCCCAAGACAAAGAGCUGUGUGCCACCUCCACUGUGGACUACAUAUUAAUCUAUUCAUCAUCCCUGGGAGAGCCACCUGCCCAGAGAGCACAGACUGAAAAACACUAACAUGAAUAAACCUUAACAGCAGAUCUCUCGCUUCUUCA
rnacentral:lncRNA from 1 species